rnacentral:rRNA from 1 species
UACAGAGGAUGCAAGCGUUAUCCGGAAUGAUUGGGCGUAAAGCGUCUGUAGGUGGCUUUUUAAGUCCGCCGUCAAAUCCCAGGGCUCAACUCUGGACAGGCGGUGGAAACUACCAAGCUGGAGUACGGUAGGGGCAGAGGGAAUUUCCGGUGGAGCGGUGAAAUGCGUAGAGAUCGGAAAGAACACCAACGGCGAAAGCGAUCGGCUGGGCCGACACUGACACUGAGAGACGAAAGCUAGGGGAGCGAAUGGG